UUCGAACUUCCGAACACGGCAUACACAAAAGGCGGCACAAAACUUGAAUCUGAAUUUCCAUAAAGUUUUUAACAAAAAAUGGUAUUAUUAGUUUUGUUUUUUUUAACAUCAAU
rnacentral:sRNA from 1 species